ACCCCACCGGAGGUAACUAAUAAUAAUAAUAAUAACCUCACCGGGGGUAACUAAUAAUAAUAACCCCACUGGGGGUAUUAUUAUUAGUUACCCCCGGUGGGGUUAUUAUUAUCGGUCAGUUACCCCCGGUGGGUUAUUAUUAGUUACCCCCGGUGGGUUAUUAUUAUUAUUAGUUACCCCUGGUGGGGUUAUUAUUAUUAUUAUUUACCCCCGGUGGGGUUAUUAUUAUUAGUUACCCCCGGUGGGGUUAUUAUUAUUAUUAGUUACCCCGGUAGGGUUAUUAUUAGUUACCCCCGGUGGGGUUAUUAUUAUCGGUCAGUU